rnacentral:rRNA from 1 species
UACGGAAUGUGCAAACGUUAUUCGGAAUCACUGGGCUUAAAGAGUCCGUAGGCGGCUUGUUAGGUGAGGUGUGAAAUCCCUCGGCCCAACCGAGGAAUUGCGCUUCAAACCGGCAAGCUAGAGGAGGAUAGAGGUGGGCGGAACUGAUGGUGGAGCGGUGAAAUGCGUUGAUAUUAUCAGGAACACCAGAGGCGAAGGCGGCUCACUGGGUCUCUUCUGACGCUGAGGAACGAAAGCUAGGGGAGCAAACGGG